rnacentral:lncRNA from 1 species
AACCACUUAACGUAUUUUCUAUUUUACUUAUUUACAUCGUUUGCAGUCUGUGGACCCUGCCCUACUCCUGAAUGUAUACGUUCCACCAAGAUGGCAAUUUCUGUCUAUUUUUUCCCCACCGUUAUAUUCUCAGUGCCUCAGUCUCAAUGUGUUUGUUGAGUGAAUGAAUAAACAAAUGAAUGCUAACUCUUGUUACCCAGGCAGAGGAAUUCCUUAAGCUCACUCGUAUCUCAGAAAGGUGAGACAGAGAGGAAAGGUUUCUAUCAUUUUUAACUCAUUGUUAUGGAAAUGACAACACACGGUUCAGGAGCCAAUGUGAUGUGUCCACGUAACAGCUUCUCACUAGUGUGGCUUGUUUUGGGGGCAAAUCAUAAAUUCUCAGAGCAGCAUUCUUCAAAGCCUUUUGACUUGACUCACAUUUAAAAACACAUUUCCCAUUCUGCCUCAGUACACGCAUACACACAUACAUAAUGGAAACAAAGGUUUCACAAAACAGUACUUAUCCUUAUGACAUGCUCUCAAGGUUUCCCGUCCCAUUUCAUUCUGCUAUAUUUCACUGUUUAAAAACUGGAUAAGACCCCCUGCUAGGUCCUGGAGAAAUCGUGCAGGCAGGCACCCAUCCUCGCUGUUGUCAAGCAUCUCCCGGGUUUGGAUUGCCAUGGGUUCGACACUGUUGUUCCGGGUGUGUAUGGUGAGGGCAUCUUCGGUGCUGCCUGGAGAAGGGAACCAUCCGCCUUAGCAGAUAAGAGGGCUGGGGGCAGAGCUGCAUCUUCUCGUGAAACUGAGGCGCCUGAGAGGGACUGUGCCUGGACCAAGAACUGCCGUCCUCCUCCUGCCACUGAGCCAGGAUAUGCCGGGCCAUUCUCAUCUUCUUCUUCAUCUUCAUUCUCAUCUUCGUUAGCUGGUCUGAGUGUUCACCGAGUUCAAAGACUCUACAGCAUCCCCAUAACGGGUACAAGUGACCUUUAAUCCUGGUCCUGUCUCAGAUGUCUAAAUGGUCCCUGACUCACAGGCAUUUGGUGCUUGAAUUUCUGAUUGUCAAGUGUUUUUAAAAAUCACUAAAACAUGAGCCACCUCACAUGGUUCCAAAUGGCAUGACUCGUGAAGCUAAUGAAAAAUUAUGGCAAAGCACUUUUCCUACAGCGCAAGCUACUCAUUGGGCCCAGAAAAGGCAAUGUUGAUGAAGUGCCAUUAAAUUACGGCCUGAGAUGCCACCUGCGGGCAAAUCUGGGUCUAAUUUGCCUUUUUGCAAGUCGUUUUCUAUUUCUUUGAACGUGAAAUGAAUCCCGAGGACGGUAGAUGAUAAAGAUGCUGCCCCUUCAAAACUGAUUUGAUUUUAAACGUAUUUGUCUUUCUUUUUUUUUUAAGCAUGUGGUUCAAGAGGAAUGAUAAUAAUAAAAAAAUCUCUUCCUAAGUUUCAGCUCAGCAGUACCUCCAUAUGGGGAAAAUGCCCCCGACACACACCUUACUCCCGUGCUGCCCUGUCCCCACCACACAGCCUGGGGGGUGAGAAGCUGGGCUGGGGAUGGAAGGCAGGUAGGUGCUGGACCACAGAGAGUUCAGGGAGAAAGCAGGAGUAAGCGAGUCAUCUGGAGGGUUCUUUCUGGCUCUCCUCUCCCUUGGCCCGUUUCCCUCACCUUCCCUGUGGGCCGUGCCCGUUUGCUCUGAUUUCUUUCUUAUGGUCGGAAGCCCCCAUCUCUCUCCCCUGUUGUUUCCAUUUAAACCUUCCUGCCUGGUGUCUCACUCCUGGAGGAUAAUUGUUAAGUUUAGUGGAUUUCUCUGCAAAGGUAACACUUUUUGUCACCAUGAGGAAACAAAGGCCAGCUCCACAGUGUGGGAAAUUCUACAGGGCAAAUGACCGGCUUUUUCCACCGCAUGAGUAGCAUGGGGACGAGGGGAGGAGCUGUUAUAAAGAAAAGAGACCAGAGACGUACUAAUCAGAGUCAACUUCGUCUCAAAGGAGCGGCAAGAGCAUAAAGAAUCCCGGACUGUCAGUCAUGCAGCUUCAACCUUUAUCAAUAUUUUGCAUUAAGCAUUUCUUUCCACACUAAGGGUCAAACUGACCUGCUGUGCCAGCAAACGUCUCCCGACUGUGGUAAACGAGCUAUCCCUGUUGUAUGAUACAUGUUCCUUGUUCCAAGACAGUACAUAACCACGCAUCCACGUGGCUUCUUCCGAGUCCUCCUUCUUGGGGGAGGUGCUCUCCCGGGCUCUCUAAUCCACAGACUGACUUGUAUAAGGAACUCAUCUCAAUUUUGAUUUAUAGAUUGAUUAUUGAUUAUUCGUGUCGACAGUUUGUUUCAUGGAGAAUUCCAAAACAGAUCCAAGAGUUCACAGUAUUUCACCCAUAACUACUUCAACACGCACCUCUUGCAGAAAGACUCUUCGGCAAGAAGCGUUCAGCCUUCAGAGCGGGGCUCCCCGGGAAGCACCCCUGUGACUGGAAGGGAGGGUUUCCUCUGAGGACAUUGUUCAUAAAAACAUGUUGUUUCUCUAUCUGAACCCGUGGGAUAAAAAUCCUUCUGGACAUGGCUUAGGAAAACCUCCACAAUCCCUCACCAAAACAUUUAAAAUUCUGUAUGCAAUCAAAGUUUUCUAUGUACAAGAUGCGCUAGGAAGCUGAGAGACGAGUCUGUGGCCAACCGUGCAUCUAUGUACACUCUGCACCACGAAACUGUGUUUUAACUUCAUUUCUGACUCAAACACGUCCCUCUUCUUGCUGUCACUUUUUCUUUCUCAUCUACUUCAAAUCUGUGUUACCUCAUUUUAUUGGUAUGUCCCUGUAAGCAGAGGUGUGCUGGUGAAUAUUUCACACUAAUUCUCUGGGGAAAAAAAGUAUAUAUAUAUAUGCAAAUUAAUUAUAAAUGUUGCUGCUAUAAAUGUAUAACCCACAAUAAGCAAAUAAUAGUAAAAUACACAAUACUCUUUAUUGUAAAUUCCAUGCAGCCAACUGAGUCCCUCAGAACGUUUUUGAUGAUUUUUGUCAAACUCUGUAUCCACAGCUAACGGAUGGUUACAACCAACAAUCAAAAAUAGUUGAGACACGAAUGUCGGUUGAUACUUUUAUUUACUUUAACAAGGAAGAGGAAGUGAAACAAGAAACACCUAUGUCUUAUGUCAGAACUUCACUCAUUCCUCAAUGAUGUGAGCCACUUUUUUGCUAAAUUGGUUGUUUUCAAAUACCGGCGGACUACUUCCCCAAUUUUUUGUGCUACUCAGAAUGUAACUACUAGAGACACGGCACACUUUAAAGUCUAUUCUGCACUGUUACCAUUCUAUCCAUCACUUUGUGAAGUCUAGACAUCAAUAAAGUGAUCAAUGAAGCCUUGACCUGUAGUGUUUGCCCAUUUCCAUGGUGUAAAUACUCCCGCCGUGGCCGAUUUAAGGAUACCCACGUGAGGUCACUGAACACGGAUCGGGAAGAGAUGCACAAGAGGACUCCAGUCUGUAGCAUUUUCACAACACAGAUACAAUGGACACAAAGAACCUCAACAGUAUACGUAACAGUGAAACGGGACUAGGAAGUGAUGAGUUUGAGUAUUUAUUACCUUUAUUUUUAAUGUAAUUUAUUUAAUUGUAAGUUUAUGUAAUUUAACUUUUAAUAAUGGCUGUGUUUAACAAAUGACUUGCAAGAUUCCUAUAAAUUUCUCAUAAGCCAGUACAGGAUGACUCUGGCUCGCCACUGUCUGUAAGCCACCCAAACUAAUUUGGGGUUUAAGUGGGGUAUGAAGGAUUAAUAAAACAGCAUACUUGUGGGAAUUCCUCUUCUGAUAGGAUGAUGGAUUGCUCCUUCCUGAGAAGACCAGAUCCUGGAUUAAUUGUGACAAACACUAUUUAAAGUACUGCUGAAUUAUUUACAACAGCCAAGACACAGAAAUAACCUAAGUGUCCACUGGUGGUUGACUGGAUAAAUAAGACAUGGAAUAUGUACACCGUGGAAUACUAUUCAGGCAUAAAAAAGAAGGCGAUCCUGCCAUUUGCAACGACAUGGAUGGACCUCCAGGGCAUUAUGCUAAGUGAAAUAAGUCAGACAGAGAAAGACAAAUACUGUAUGAUCUCACUUAUAUGUGGAAUCCAAAAAAACCCAAAGUAAUAGAAACAGAGAUUAUAUUUGUGGUUGCAAGAGGCAGGGGAAUUGUUGGUCAAAAGGUACAAAUUUCCAGUUAUAAGACAAGUAAGUCCUGGGGAUGUGACGUACAGUGUGAUGACUACAGGUUAUACGUCAUUUACAGCAGCAAAAUUUAUAAUAAAUUUGUGUAAUAUAUAUGCUUUUUUUUUUCCCAAGAAAGUUGAGCUUAAAAGUUCUCAUGACAAGGAAAAGUAUCUUUGUACCUAGGUGAGGUGAUCAAUGUUAACUAAACUUACUGUGGUGGUCCUUUUGCACCACAUACAUAUGUCAAACAUUACGUUGUACACCUAAAACUAAUACAAUCUUAUAUGUCGAUUAUAUCUCACAUCUCGAUAAAACUGGGAAGAAAGUUAAAUUAUUGCUGAGCUCAAAUGAACAUAUGGGGAACCACUCAGGUUCAAGGGGCAAAACAAUAGGAGCAGUGAGCUAAAACCAGGUCAAUAAACAAUAAAUGGAAAACAAAACCAAAAAUAACCCAAAAAACAAACAAUGGUUGGCCCUGCAGGUCAUGGUCACUGCUUCCACCAGCACGGGGACCGAGACAGAGCUGGACCGUGCAAAGAAAGGGAGCGAACCUCAGCCUCCAGCGGUGAGGACAGAAAAAUGAUUCACCCCCCAGCAGAGGAAGGCUCCCCACAAUUUGGAUUAUCUCCAUCGUGACCCCAGGUGGAAAAGGUGGAUAACAGUAUGUUCUUCUGGAAACAUGCAUCCACAGGCCUUAUCUGACCCUGCUGUGGAGGUCACAUUUACAGCCCUCGUGCAACCCAGCUUUAGCAUAAAAAUUCAAACAUUCGCUGGGGGCAGCGGCCCGGGUCUCCAAGGCCGCAGGGACCCCCGGCCCUCGCCCCUCGUCCUGAGUAAGACCCAGAGCCAGGGACACACACGCCAAGGCCACCUGGAGACCAGGCCCAACCAGGCUCUGAGCUGCCGGUGGAGAAGACUGCUAUCCCGGCAGGCUUCCUGGAGGAGGCAUCCUGGAGGAGGGAGAAGGGAAGACGAAACCAGCACUCGCUCUGGGCAGAGCUUAGUACUAUCAUUGGCUCCUCUUUCUCCUUUCCACGGUGAUUGUCUUCUGACCAAUGUGUGUAGGACCCCCUUCCCCAAUCCAGUGCCACUUGGGCUGCAACCCUCCUCUCCUCUAGAACAGCCUGUGGCUCCUAGCAGCCGGCACACUCACUGCCAAAGCCCUCGAGUCCCGCACUGGUGCCCUGCCACCUGUGCCUCUUUCACAGCCCUCCACGGCUGCUCAGGGUGACCUGCUCCCCGAACUAAUUUGCAGCUCACAGCAUCCUCCCUCCUUCUGAAAAACAAACCCAACUCAGCAUGUAAGGUCUCCAGACUCCCUUCCUCAUUUUCCCCUCUGCCCUUGCUCCCCAAGUGCCAACAGCCUGUGAGGGCACGGUGCUCACACGGGUAAAUGCCCACCACCCAACUCUUACAGGGCAGAGGGACCCGCCCUAGUGCACCCGGUGUUCCGGAGAGACUGGUCUCCUCUCCGUCCUUAUUCCCUCCCGCUCCCCCUUCAGAUCUGUGAAAGUAAAAAAAAAAGUAAAACGAAGUAGUGCCAGGUUGGCAGCAGCAUGACACAAUGCCCAAGAAAGCACAAUUCUCUGGAGGAACAAAUUAAGUUCAAUCAAAUAUUAUCCCUCCAUUAAAAAUGAACAAAUAAAGAGGGAAAUAAAUGAACAUGGGUGGAAUCAGGAGAAACAACACACCACAGAAUACAUCCCGAAGGGCUCCAGCUACCGGAACCACUGGGGACAAAAUGACCCCGUAAAAAAUGUUUAAAGGAAAAGAUGGAAUUAGAAAAGGAGAAAGAAACACAGCACCAGGAAGAUUUGAAAAAUGACUCAUAUGAGAAUCUUAGAAUGGAAAUAUUAUUAAAAUUAAAAACAAUAUUAUUAAAUAUUAUUAUUAUUAAAAUUAAAAUAUUAUUAAAUAUUAUUAAAAUUAAAAACAAUAAGCUGGCCAAACAGAAGAUUAGAUACAUUGAGAAAAGAAGCCACAAUCGGGGAGAAGACAGAGCCAAGGAAAUUACCCGCCAUUAAGCACAUAGAGGCAUGAAACAGAAAAAAAUGAAAGCAAAGAGAGAGGGAAGAUAGAAUGAGACGGUCUAACAUGUGUCCAAUUCGAAAGGAAAUAAUAGAGAAAAUGUAAGGACAUAGCCGCUGAGAUGCUGUAAAAUUCAUGAGACAAUACACAGAUAAGAAGCGCAUAGAUAAAUGAAGAGAAAUCUCCAUCUAGACAUACUGUAGUAAAACCACAAAACAAGAAAGACAGAGAUGAUCCCAAAAGCAGCCAGAGAAGAAGGACAUCUUGGUUACAAGUCAUGACGAUUAGACCAAUAGCCAACUUGCCUAGAACUACAUAGGAAGCCAGGAGAGGGCUGGAAAAUCUCUGCUGAGACAAAAUAACCACCAGCCUAGAAGGACCUCACCAGUAAACUGUCAAGAAAACAGGAGAAAUGACCAGACAGACGGAGAUGACCACCAAAAGGACCUGCACUCGAGGAAGGACAACCUAAGAAGAAAAGAUGAGUCUGGAAAGGCCUGUGAGUAAAGAAAUUGGUAAACAGGGAAGUACGUAUGAACACUAAUUGUGUAAAAUCAUAACAAUUUCUAAUUUUUAGGGUAAAAAAUGGCAUUAAGACAUUCAACAAUAGCUUAGAAGUAAGGGUAGGGGGAUCUGAGUUAAGGAGGUCCAAUGUCCUCACAUUGACAGGAAAGGAAUUAAGAUACGAUUAAAUUUGUACUUUGGUAAGUUAAGCAUACAUGUUAAAGUUUCAAGGACAAAUACUAAAAAAAAGGUAGAAAUUGAGGGUACAACUUCCCAGCCAGGAAAGAGGGGGAAAUGGAAUAAGAAAAGCAAGCAAGCAAGCAAAGAAAGACAACCCAUUCAAAAAAAGGUAAGAAAGGAGAGAAAAAGGAGCUGUGUUUAAAUGGUGAAAUUAAGGAGUCACCAGGAGGACGGCGCUGACUGGGGCAUCUGAAGCAGGGUGUCCCUUCCCUCCCGCACCUCGUGAGCACCCACCCUUCUGCCCACCCCCCCAGCCAGGCUGGCUCCAAGCUGAGCGCCCCCAGGCAGGUGAGAGCCAAGGGCGGGCAGCCAGGGGGCCUGGGCUCUAGACGCUGCUUCCCAGAGAGGAGGGAGCCUCUGCCCUUUGGCUUCCACAUCGCCGCCUUUCAGGAUCUCCUGAGCAGCUCUGGCUCAGUCCGAUUCCCUCUGCCAGAUGCCUUGCAAAGUCUUUGUCUGGUGGCCAUGCAGUCAAGUGAAAUGUAUGUUCACAGCUGGGGCUCCCGCCCCACCUAAGGUUGGAUGGAGUGGAUGCGCCUGGAGAGAGCCAGCAGCCCCACGCUCAUCCCUGUCCCGCCAUUUGUUGCUGUGCAAACUCGGCCCCUGGGCAUCAUCUCUGCGUAAUUGUCCUCAUCUGUGCCAGUGAGGAGGAUGGACCAGACAAUCGUCCAGGUCCUCCAUCGCUCUAAUAUCCCUUGGUUAUGCUCCUCCUUAAAUGCGCAUCAGAGACAUUCAGUUGUGAGCUUGACUUUCUAAUAAUAUUGAACUCUCCUCUCUGUGCAUAGCCCUCAUAAUCUGCUUACAUAACAUGUUCCUUUGCUCACAAAACACAACAGCAAUAGUUCCUCUGACGGCCUUGUAUUCAGUUACUGCCCUUCUUAAUAUCAUUUUUCUAGGACCUCAAGUGAGGAGAGAUUUAAAAAAUUAAAAAUUAAAAAAGUGUAAAACCCUCAGUGACUCGGUUUCACUUUGAAAUGUCUCCUUUUGCCUUUUCUCCUGUGUUCAGGUGCAUCAGGCCUGUCUAGUUGGCUCGGAUCUUAAGUCCUCCACUCAGGGACCUAAUGGACCUUUAUCCACCUGGAUUUAGAAGCCAGCCCCUCCUGACAGCGCACUAGUAAGCGUUCCAAAUGACCUUUCAGUAUCAAAAUUAAAUAGUCGUUGUCCACCACCAUCCAGCUUGAUUUACGUGAUGCUUUUGACGUGAUUAAUCAUAGCGUCGCUCCGCUAACCAUCCUCAUUAAACUUUCAAGGUUCCGGACUCCAGUCUCUGGCAUGUUUCAUCCUGUCCACACCUUCACCUCAGACAGGAUGAGUGCCCGUCAUGCUCAAGCAGAGGGCACCCCAAAGCCUAAUGCUCCCAGUUAUUCUCCUUGCUUGUUAUCUCUCAGGCUCAAAUCCAUCCACCUGUUUCACCAGAACAAGAGGGGAGCAAUGGAGCAGCAUCAUCCUUGACUGAGCGCUCAGCUCCUUGCCCAGCCGUCCUCCUUGUGUGGGAGCAUUGCACUCAGGUGGAUGGUCCAGAUGCAUCCUGGGUUUCUCCUCCAAAUCUGCAAGAGCAUUCUCUCUCUAAAGGUCUUGGGGGUGUUCAUGGAAUUCUCACCACAUUCUAACCACUGGCCUGUGUAAUCUCAGUCAAACCACUCAUGCUCUAUGCACCCGGGACCAUCCAGAUAACCCUUGCCACUUGGCAUUUCUGGUGAUACUGCCAGGAGGGUUGGUAUUCAGCUGGUUGGCACCAGUAAGUCCUAAUGAGCGAUUUACAAUCUACGGCCAUCCUCACUGUCCUGUGCCUAUGACACACCAGCUGUGAAAUGUAUUACAUAUGACCUGGAGGUGGAUGCCACUCAGUUUAUAAAUGAGGAGACCGAGGCUCUGAGUUGCGUGGGAAGAGGGGUAGGAUGCAAGGUGUCCAUUUUGCUGGUGCAGACCAUGGCAGGGGUGGGUGGUCCUGGAGUCAGAGGGGAGCAGCAACUUCCUGGUCAGGUCAAGACAGCAGCUGCUGGCAGCCGUGUCCUAAAAUGUGGUCUGGAGGGCUGUUCUGGAAGCCUGUAGACAACUUAGACAAAAUGGACACGUUUCUAGAAAGACACAAACUACUGAAACUGACUCAAGAAGAAAUAGAAAAUCUGAAUAGACCUAGAAUAAGCAAAGAGAUUGAACUUGUAGUUUUAAAACUAUCUGUAAGAAAAGUCCUGAUCUAGGUGGCUUCACUGGUGACU